GAAAUGCGAUAAGUAGUGUGAAUUGCAGAAUUCAGUGAAUCAUCGAAUCUUUGAACGCACAUUGCGCCCUUUGGUAUUCCAAAGGGCAUGCCUGUUCGAGCGUCAUUUGUACCCUCAAGCUUUGCUUGGUGUUGGGCGUUUUUUGUCCCUGGUUCGCCAGAGACUCGCCUUAAAGACAUUGGCAGCCGACCUACUGGUUUCGGAGCGCAGCACAUUUUUGCGCUUCUUCCAGCCAUGGUUGUGCGUCCAUGAAAGCCAUUUUUUCAACGUUUGACCUCGGAUCAGGUAGGGAUACCCGCUGAACUUAA
rnacentral:misc_RNA from 2 species